CGGGGCGUAGCGCAGCCUGGUAGCGCACUUGCAUGGGGUGCAAGGGGUCGCGAGUUCGAAUCCCGCCGCCCCGC
rnacentral:tRNA from 1 species